GAUGAACGCUAGCUACAGGCUUAACACAUGCAAGUCGAGGGGCAGCAUGGUCUUAGCUUGCUAAGGCCGAUGGCGACCGGCGCACGGGUGAGUAACACGUAUCCAACCUGCCGUCUACUCUUGGACAGCCUUCUGAAAGGAAGAUUAAUACAAGAUGGCAUCAUGAGUCCGCAUGUUCACAUGAUUAAAGGUAUUCCGGUAGACGAUGGGGAUGCGUUCCAUUAGAUAGUAGGCGGGGUAACGGCCCACCUAGUCUUCGAUGGAUAGGGGUUCUGAGAGGAAGGGCCCCCACAUUGGAACUGGGAAACGGUCCACACUCCUACGGGAGGCAGCAGUGAGGAAUAUUGGUCAAUGGGCGCAGGCCUGAACCAGCCAAGUAGCGUGAAGGAUGACUGCCCUAUGGGUUGUAAACUUCUUUUAUAAAGGAAUAAAGUCGGGUAUGUAUACCCGUUUGCAUGUACUUUAUGAAUAAGGAUCGGCUAACUCCGUG
rnacentral:rRNA from 1 species